CGGUUAGUUUAUCUUUUGGAAAGAGAUGUAGGUGGUUGGGAUGCUACUACCAAUUGGGAAGACAUAUUAUCUCUUGGAGAGCAACAGAGACUAGGCAUGGCACGUUUAUUCUUUCACAGACCGAAGUUUGGAGUCCUUGAUGAAUGCACCAAUGCGACAAGUGUUGACGUUGAGGAACAGCUCUAUAGGGUUGCAAGAGA